AGUACCCUGACCUCUGCGCUCUGCGCCCGCCGCUGGGUUCUGGCAGAACUAAUUUGACUGUAUAAAGACCAGAAAGACCGGCAGUUUUCUUCAACUACUCAGCUUACUGCAGUUGUGAAAAGUCUCAAUCAGCAUCUUCAAACAUAGCGCCUACACCAUGCUCGCUCCCUCGCACACGCUGUCUCUCUCCUUCUGGAAUUACAAUUAGGUGUAAAAACUGAUGAACAGAAAUCUCAAUUAAAAGAGAGUUGGGAGACCAGACAGGGAACUUCUCGUGCCCUCCAAUACUAGCAGAGCCCUGCAGGAGGAAGAGACUCCCUCCUCUUGUCGGGUCUGCUCUGAAUUCAACAGUGGUUUUCUUCAGGAUGUGGUUUUCUUCAGAGCACUGGAGCUUUGGUUUCUCUUGCUCUGCCACUUCUCAGUCAACAUAAUACAAACUACAGUUGACCCUUGAACAACUGAGGGAUUGGGCCCCCCAACCUCCCCAAACAGUCGAAAAUCCAAAUGUAAACUUUGCAGUUGGCUCUCAUAUCUGAGUUUCCUCAUUCUUGGAUUCAACCAACUGAGGAUCAGAUUGUGUUGUCCUGUAGUAUAUAUUUAGUGAAAAAAAUCCAUGUGUAAAUGAACUGACCCUGUUCAAACCUGUGUUGUUCCAGGGUUAACUGUGUUUUUCAUCAUCUGUACAAUUAAUCGUCCCACACAAUCACUUUUUCCAUCAUCGAGAAAUUCCUCGAGAAGUCUUAUCUGUUCAUGGAAUCCUUUCUUAUUUUAUAAUGCUACUGUGAAUUUCUUCCCAGAUUUUAAGGGAUUGGGGGCAUAAAGGGAAGGGAGUGCAUGUGUUUGGCCUGUCAUGUCUACCUGCUCUCUGGCUUUGAUGUUCAAAUGUAACAUAUCAAGACUAGAAGCAAAGGGCUUCUGAUUAAAAAUGGUGAAUUAGCAAGUAUUUAUCUCCUUUAUCUCAUAAAGCAAAAUCACUAAACUUUAUCACUAAAGCAAAAAUACAUGAAUUAAAAA